rnacentral:rRNA from 1 species
AGUGAACGCUGGCGGUAGGCCUAACACAUGCAAGUCGAACGGCAGCACAGUAAGAGCUUGCUCUUACGGGUGGCGAGUGGCGGACGGGUGAGGAAUACAUCGGAAUCUACUUUUUCGUGGGGGAUAACGUAGGGAAACUUACGCUAAUACCGCAUACGACCUACGGGUGAAGGCAGGGGAUCUUCGGACCUUGCGCGAUUGAAUGAGCCGAUGUCGGAUUAGCUAGUUGGCGGGGUAAAGGCCCACCAAGGCGACGAUCCGUAGCUGGUCUGAGAGGAUGAUCAGCCACGCUGGAACUGAGACACGGUCCAGACUCCUACGGGAGGCAGCAGUGGGGAAUAUUGGACAAUGGGCGCAAGCCUGAUCCAGCCAUACCGCGUGGGUGAAGAAGGCCUUCGGGUUGUAAAGCCCUUUUGUUGGGAAAGAAAAGCAGCAGGUUAAUACCCCGCUGUUCCGACGGUACCCAAAGAAUAAGCACCGGCUAACUUCGUG